GACGAACGCUGGCGGCGUGCUUAACACAUGCAAGUCGAACGGUGAAGGGACCGGUUUUUGCUGGUUCUGGAUGAGUGGCUUACGGGUGAUUAACACGUGAUUAACCUGCCCCCUUCUUCUGGAUAACCGCAUGAAAGUGUGGCUAAUACGGGAUAUUCUGCGCCUUCUGCAUGGUGGGUGUGGGAAAGUUAUUGUUUCGGUGGGGGAUGGGCUCGCGGCCUAUCAGCUUGUUGGUGGGGUGAUGGCCUACCAAGGCGGUGCCGGGUAGCCGGCCUGGGAGGGUGGACGGUCACACUGGGACUGAGACACGGCCCAGACUCAUACGGGAGACAGCAGUAGGGAAUAUUGCACGAUGGGCGCAAGCCUGAUGCAGCGACGCCGCGUGAGGGAUGGAGGCCUUCGGGUUGUAAACCUCUUUCGCCAGUGAAGCAGGGCUGUCCCUUUUGUGGGUGGGUUGACGGUAGCUGGAUAAGAAGCGCCGGCUAACUACGUG
rnacentral:rRNA from 1 species